UACGGAGGGUCCAAGCGUUAUCCGGAAUCAUUGGGUUUAAAGGGUCCGUAGGCGGUUUUGUAAGUCAGUGGUGAAAGCCCAUCGCUCAACGGUGGAACGGCCAUUGAUACUGCAAGACUUGAAUUAUUGGAAGUAACUAGAAUAUGUAGUGUAGCGGUGAAAUGCUUAGAGAUUACAUGGAAUACCAAUUGCGAAGGCAGGUUACUACCAAUAUAUUGACGCUGAUGGACGAAAGCGUGGGGAGCGAACAGG
rnacentral:rRNA from 1 species